CCUAUCCCUACAGGCAGUACAGGUGUGGCUGCUGUGUCGCACGUGUGCUGUAGGUGGCAGGGAGGCAAGAGGCUCCGUCUAUGCUCAGUGUUCUGACCUAUGAACAUCUGAAUGAUUAGUAGGCUAACAUU
ensembl:snoRNA LOC120093981 small nucleolar RNA SNORA17